GGAUUUGUGGUGUGUCCAGUUGGCCUUUGCUCUUUGAGUGAUAGUGCUUUACUGGUCUGCCAUGUUUGGGUGGAAUCUGUGUGGCAUUAAGUUGUCGUGCAGGGGAUGCCCAUCGUUUACUGUGAAAAAAUUAGAGUGUUCAAAGCAGGCUUAUGCCUCUGAAUAUAUUAGCAUGGAAUAAUGAUAUAGGACCUUGGUACUAUUUUGUUGGUUUGCGCACUGAGGUAAUGAUUAAGAGGGACAGUUGGGGGUAUUUGUAUUCCAUUGUCAGAGGUGAAAUUCUUGGAUUUUUGGAAGACAAACUACUGCGAAAGCAUUUACCAAGGAUGUUUUCAUUAAUCAAGAACGAAAGUUAGGGGAUCGAAGAUGAUUAGAUACCAUCGUAGUCUUAACCAUAAACUAUGCCGACAAGGGAUUGGUGGAGUUUCGUUUCGUCUCCAUCAGCACCUUGUGAGAAAUCAUAAGUCUUUGGGUUCCGGGGGGAGUAUGGUCGCA
rnacentral:rRNA from 1 species